GACGAACGCUGGCGGCGUGCUUAACACAUGCAAGUCGAACGAAGUGGCGAACGGGUGAGUAAUACGUGAGUAACCUGCCCUCCUUUUGGGGAUAAGCCUUGGAAACGGGGUCUAAUACCGAAUAAAGGGGGAUGGGCUCGCGGCCUAUCAGCUUGUUGGUGGGGUGAUGGCCUACCAAGGCGGUGACGGGUAGCCGGCCUGAGAGGGUGACCGGCCACAUUGGGACUGAGAUACGGCCCAGACGGCUACGGGAGACAGCAGUGGGGGAUAUUGCACAAUGGGGGAAAGUGUGAGGCAGCGGCGCCGCGUGCGUGAUGACGGCCUUCGGGUUGUAAACCGUAUUCAGCCAUGACGCGGUAGUGGCAGAAGAAGCACCGGCUAACUACGUGCCAGCAGCCGCGGUAAUAC
rnacentral:rRNA from 1 species